rnacentral:rRNA from 1 species
GACGAACGCUGGCGGCGUGCUUAACACAUGCAAGUCGAACGGAAAGGCCCUGCUUUUGUGGGGUGCUCGAGUGGCGAACGGGUGAGCAACACGUGAGUAACCUGCCCUUGACUUUGGGAUAACUUCAGGAAACUGGGGCUAAUACCGGAUAGGAGCUCCUGCUACAUGGUGGGGGUUGGAAAGUUUCGGCGGUUGGGGAUGGACUCGCGGCUUAUCAGCUUGUUGGUGGGGUAGUGGCUUACCAAGGCUUUGACGGGUAGCCGGCCUGAGAGGGUGACCGGCCACAUUGGGACUGAGAUACGGCCCAGACUCCUACGGGAGGCAGCGGUGGGGAAUAUUGCACAAUGGGCGGAAGCCUGAUGCAGCAACGCCGCGUGCGGGAUGACGGCCUUCGGGUUGUAAACCGCUUUCGCCGGUGACGAAGCGUGAGUGACGGUAAUGGGUAAAGAAGCACCGGCUAACUACGUG